rnacentral:rRNA from 1 species
AUUGAACGCUGGCGGCAUGCCUUACACAUGCAAGUCGAACGGUAACAGGUCUUCGGAUGCUGACGAGUGGCGAACGGGUGAGUAAUACAUCGGAACGUGCCCGAUCGUGGGGGAUAACGAAGCGAAAGCUUUGCUAAUACCGCAUACGAUCUACGGAUGAAAGCAGGGGCCCGCAAGGCCUUGCGCGAACGGAGCGGCCGGUGGCAGAUUAGGUAGUUGGUGGGCUAAAAGCUUACCAAGCCGACGAUCUGUAGCUGGUCUGAGAGGACGACCAGCCACACUGGGACUGAGACACGGCCCAGACUCUGACGGGAGGCAGCAGUGGGGUAUAUUGGACAAUGGGCGAAAGCCUGAUCCAGCCAUGCCGCGUGCAGGAGGAAGGCCUUCGGGUUGUAAACUGCUUUUGUACGGAACGAAAAGACUCUGGUUAAUACCUGGGGUCCAUGACGGUACCGUAAGAAUAAGCACCGGCUAACUACGUGCCAGCAGCCGCGGUAA